GGGGGAACCAACUUAGGACACACCCCACUAUAUUGUUCGCCAGAGUACUACAAGCGCUAGCUUAAAACCCAAAGGACUUGGCGGUAUCCCAUACCCACCUAGAGGAGCCUGUUCUAUAACCGAUAAUCCCCGUUCAACCUCACCACUUCUUGCCAUUACCGUCUAUAUACCGCCGUCGUCAGCCCACCCUGUGAAGGACUAAAAGUAAGCAAAAAGAAUAAAACUCCAAAACGUCAGGUCGAGGUGUAGCAAAUGAAGUGGGAAGAAAUGGGCUACAUUUUUUUCCAAAAAUAUACGAAUGGUAAACUGAAAACACACCUAAAGGUGGAUUUAGCAGUAAGAGGAGAUCAGAAUACUCCCCUGAAAUCGGCUCUGGGAUAAGCACACACCGCCCGUUCACCCUCAA
rnacentral:rRNA from 1 species